UGAACGGCGUGCCCUUGGAUACUGAGUGC
rnacentral:piRNA from 1 species